CAGUGCGUAAACGUGGGAGGAUACAGGACAGCAGACCUGGAACGUCCGUGUUGUGAGAGACUGGCCGGUCCUCCUGCAGUCCUCUCACACCUGCAGGGUCAGAACAGGUGAACAGACUGAGAGGGCUGUUGGUGUGCAGUCCCUGACAGGAGCAGCGGAAGAGCCUUAAGGAAGCGGGGCUCUCCCAGAAGAGAGAGGCACGCAAACACUGCUGCUGUAAAGCUCUUCUCCCCGGCGCUGCGAGAACCGUCCCGUCGCCCGCAGGCUGAGCCGCGAUGCAUCUGGUAAAGGAGAGAGGGCCGCGUUACAGCGGUGCCUCAGCGCACGGCGUCAGCAUCCCGAUUCGGCCCCGCAGCUUCAGGUGAUGGGCUGCCACAAUUGCGUGUGCAGCCCUGAGCUCCUCUGCACUCAGCGGUGAGAAACGGGACCCGACAGAGAUCUGUCAGAGCGCUCCGUCUCUGCUGAGCGCGGUACCGACAGCCGCGCACCGCUCCGCGCCACUCACCGCGCCGCGUCCACCCGCAGCUCCUGGAGGGCCGUCCGCAGGCUGCGCUCCUCCUCGUCCUCGUCGUCGUCGUCCUCGUCGUUCUGCUGCUGCUGCUGCUGCUCCUCCUCCUCGUGCCGCCUGUUUGCAAGCCAAGGACACGUGAAAGGAACGUCAGCGGGACUGAGGCGGAGCUGCACCCAGCCUGUGGUGGGCAACCCAAUAAAAGCCAACUGUUU
rnacentral:lncRNA from 7 species